AACGAACGCUGGCGGCAUGCCUAACACAUGCAAGUCGAACGAGACCUUCGGGUCUAGUGGCGCACGGGUGCGUAACGCGUGGGAACCUGCCCUUAGGUUCGGAAUAACUCCCCGAAAGGGGUGCUAAUACCGGAUAAUGUCCUCGGACCAAAGAUUUAUCGCCUUUGGAUGGGCCCGCGUUGGAUUAGCUAGUUGGUAGGGUAAAAGCCUACCAAGGCGACGAUCCAUAGCUGGUCUGAGAGGCUGAUCAGCCACACUGGGACUGAGACACGGCCCAGACUCCUACGGGAGGCAGCAGUGGGGAAUAUUGGACAGUGGGGGAAAGCAUGAUCCAGCAAUGCCGGGUGAGUGAUGAAGGCCUUAGGGAUGUAAAGCUCUUUUACCCGGGAUGAUAAUGACAGUACCGGGAGAAUAAGCUCCGGCUAACUCCGUG
rnacentral:rRNA from 1 species